AGUGAACGCUGGCGGUAGGCCUAACACAUGCAAGUCGAACGGCAGCACAGUAAGAGCUUGCUCUUACGGGUGGCGAGUGGCGGACGGGUGCGGAAUACAUCGGAAUCUACUUUUUCGUGGGGGAUAACGUAGGGAAACUUACGCUAAUACCGCAUACGACCUACGGGUGAAAGCAGGGGAUCUUCGGACCUUGCGCGAUUGUAUGAGCCGAUGUCGGAUUAGCUAGUUGGCGGGGUAAAGGCCCACCAAGGCGACGAUCCGUAGCUGGUCUGAGAGGAUGAUCAGUCACACUGGAACUGAGACACGGUCCAGACUCCUACGGGAGGCAGCAGUGGGGAAUAUUGGACAAUGGGCGCAAGCCUGAUCCAGCCAUGCCGCGUGGGUGAAGAAGGCCUUCGGGUUGUAAAGCCCUUUUGUUGGGGAAGAAAAGCAGCAGGUUAAUACCCCGCUGUUCUGACGGUACCCAAAGAAUAAGCACCGGCUAACUUCGUG
rnacentral:rRNA from 1 species